rnacentral:rRNA from 1 species
UACGGAGGGGGGCUAGCGUUGUUCGGAAUUACUGGGCGUAAAGCGCACGUAGGCGGCGAUUUAAGUCAGAGGUGAAAGCCCGGGGCUCAACCCCGGAAUAGCCUUUGAGACUGGAUUGCUAGAAUCUUGGAGAGGCGAGUGGAAUUCCGAGUGUAGAGGUGAAAUUCGUAGAUAUUCGGAAGAACACCAGUGGCGAAGGCGGCUCGCUGGACAAGUAUUGACGCUGAGGUGCGAAAGCGUGGGGAGCAAACAGG